UAAGUUAAUAAGGGCGCACGGUGGAUGCCUUGGCACUAGGAGCCGACGAAGGACGUGACAAACGACGAUAUGCCUUGGGUAGCUGUAAGUAAGCGAUGAUCCAGGGAUUUCCGAAUGGGGGAACCCAACAGGUAAUACCUGUUACCUACAUCUGUUAAGGAUGUGAGGAGGAAGACGCAGUGAACUGAAACAUCUAAGUAGCUGCAGGAAGAGAAAGCAAAAGCGAUUGCCUUAGUAGCGGCGAGCGAAACGGCAGAAGGGCAAACCGAAGAGUAUACUCUUCGGGGUUGUAGGACUGCAAUGUGGACUCAAAGAUUAUAGAAGAAUGAUUUGGGAAGAUCAGCCAAAGAGAGUAAUAGCCUCGUAUUUAAAAUAGUCUUUGUACUUAGCAGUAUCCUGAGUACGGCGGGACACGUGAAAUCCCGUCGGAAUCUGGGAGGACCUUCUCCCAACCCUAAAUACUCCCUAGUGACCGAUAGUGAACCAGUACCGUGAGGGAAAGGUGAAAAGCACCCCGGGAGGGGAGUGAAAUAGAACCUGAAACCGUGUGCCUACAACAAGUUCGAGCCCGUUAAUGGGUGAGAGCGUGCCUUUUGUAGAAUGAACCGGCGAGUUACGUUAUGAUGCGAGGUUAAGUUGAAGAGACGGAGCCGUAGGGAAACCGAGUCUGAAUAGGGCGCCUUAGUAUCAUGACGUAGACCCGAAACCAUGUGACCUACCCAUGAGCAGGUUGAAGGUGCGGUAAGACGCACUGGAGGACCGAACCAGGGCACGUUGAAAAGUGCUUGGAUGACUUGUGGGUAGCGGAGAAAUUCCAAACGAACUUGGAGAUAGCUGGUUCUCUCCGAAAUAGCUUUAGGGCUAGCGUCGACAUUAGAGAUUCUUGGAGGUAGAGCACUGUUUGGGUGAGGGGUCCAUCCCGGAUUACCAAUCUCAGAUAAACUCCGAAUGCCAAUGAAUUAUGGUCGGCAGUCAGACUGCGAGUGCUAAGAUCCGUAGUCGAAAGGGAAACAGCCCAGACCACCAGCUAAGGUCCCAAAAUAAUUGUUAAGUGGAAAAGGAUGUGGGGUUGCACAGACAACUAGGAUGUUAGCUUAGAAGCAGCUAUUCAUUCAAAGAGUGCGUAAUAGCUCACUAGUCGAGUGACCCUGCGCCGAAAAUGUACCGGGGCUAAAACAAUUUACCGAAGCUGUGGAUACCUUUAUAGGUAUGGUAGGAGAGCGUUCUAUGUGUGAUGAAGGUAUACCGUGAGGAGUGCUGGAACGCAUAGAAGUGAGAAUGCCGGUAUGAGUAGCGAAAGACAGGUGAGAAUCCUGUCCACCGUAAGACUAAGGUUUCCAGGGGAAGGCUCGUCCGCCCUGGGUUAGUCGGGACCUAAGGAGAGACCGAAAGGUGUAUCCGAUGGACAACAGGUUGAUAUUCCUGUACUAGAGUAUGUAGUGAUGGAGGGACGCAGUAGGCUAACUAAAGCAGACGAUUGGAAGAGUCUGUCUAAGCAGUGAGGUGUGAAUUGAGUCAAAUGCUUAAUUCUAUAACAUUGAGCUGUGAUGGGGAGCGAAGUUUAGUAGCGAAGUUAGUGACGUCACACUGCCAAGAAAAGCUUCUAGCGUUUAAACAUACUCUACCCGUACCGCAAACCGACACAGGUAGUCGAGGCGAGUAGCCUCAGGUGAGCGAGAGAACUCUCGUUAAGGAACUCGGCAAAAUGACCCCGUAACUUCGGGAGAAGGGGUGCUGACUUAAAGUCAGCCGCAGUGAAUAGGCCCAAGCAACUGUUUAUCAAAAACACAGCUCUCUGCUAAAUCGUAAGAUGAUGUAUAGGGGGUGACGCCUGCCCGGUGCUGGAAGGUUAAGAGGAGUGCUUAGCGUAAGCGAAGGUAUGAAUUGAAGCCCCAGUAAACGGCGGCCGUAACUAUAACGGUCCUAAGGUAGCGAAAUUCCUUGUCGGGUAAGUUCCGACCCGCACGAAAGGCGUAAUGAUUUGGGCACUGUCUCAACGAGAGACUCGGUGAAAUUUUAGUACCUGUGAAGAUGCAGGUUACCCGCGACAGGACGGAAAGACCCCAUGGAGCUUUACUGCAGUUUGAUAUUGAGUGUCUGUACCACAUGUACAGGAUAGGUAGGAGUCUAAGAGAUCGGGACGCCAGUUUCGAAGGAGACGCUGUUGGGAUACUACCCUUGUGUUAUGGCCACUCUAACCCAGAUAGGUGAUCCCUAUCGGAGACAGUGUCUGACGGGCAGUUUGACUGGGGCGGUCGCCUCCUAAAAGGUAACGGAGGCGCCCAAAGGUUCCCUCAGAAUGGUUGGAAAUCAUUCGCAGAGUGUAAAGGUAUAAGGGAGCUUGACUGCGAGAGCUACAACUCGAGCAGGGACGAAAGUCGGGCUUAGUGAUCCGGUGGUUCCGUAUGGAAGGGCCAUCGCUCAACGGAUAAAAGCUACCCUGGGGAUAACAGGCUUAUCUCCCCCAAGAGUUCACAUCGACGGGGAGGUUUGGCACCUCGAUGUCGGCUCGUCGCAUCCUGGGGCUGUAGUCGGUCCCAAGGGUUGGGCUGUUCGCCCAUUAAAGCGGCACGCGAGCUGGGUUCAGAACGUCGUGAGACAGUUCGGUCCCUAUCCGUCGCGGGCGUAGGAAAUUUGAGAGGAUCUGCUCCUAGUACGAGAGGACCAGAGUGGACUUACCGCUGGUGUACCAGUUGUCUUGCCAAAGGCAUCGCUGGGUAGCUAUGUAGGGAAGGGAUAAACGCUGAAAGCAUCUAAGUGUGAAACCCACCUCAAGAUGAGAUUUCCCAUGAUUAUAUAUCAGUAAGAGCCCUGAGAGAUGAUCAGGUAGAUAGGUUAGAAGUGGAAGUGUGGCGACACAUGUAGCGGACUAAUACUAAUAGCUCGAGGACUUAUCCA
rnacentral:rRNA from 1 species